AAAACUUUUUUGAAUCUCAGUGUGUAGACAUCUAUCUUUUUGUUUUUGUCCUACACCUGAGCCUAAGUUUGGGUAUUGGAUGUGCAUACCUAUUUUAUAUUUGUUAAAAAUAAUUUAAAAACCCUUUCAUUAAGGGAGGAUGAUUUCUGUCAAAGCAUUAAUAUUGUAUUAAUAUUGAUAACUGAGACAGACCUCCAAUGCAGAGGCACCAAAUGUUACUUUUUUAUACAGCACGUGCUUUCUAUCAGUGUGAGAUUCCUGACACAUGAGACUUUUCAAAUACUGUAAUUACAACAGUAUUUUUUUCCUCAGAAGCUGCGAACUGUCAGGUAAUAAGUUAUGCAGCAUAGUGGACUCUACUGUCACAGGUGAAGGUGGUGCUACGCAGCCUGUAUCCUAUCAGUGACAGGUGGAUAUCUUUGGAGGUGUUUGGCCCUAAAGGGCUGUUCAGGCAGUCAGGAUAGGCCCCAUGACCCCCUUGGUAAAACAACGGGUUCAUUCUUUGCUCCACUGCUGACCUCAUUGUCUCUUUGUGAAGUGAAAAUCCAGAGUUACAUUCUGCUCAGCUGCUGGUGUGCAGCAUCUCUGCUGUGAUGGAGGUGAGUGGAUGAGAGAGAGAGUUUGAGCAGCUGCCGCCAGGAAACCCCUGGAUCCAAACAACCAGAACAUGAGUCUCAGUAGAGAAGCCAUGGCAGUGAUUGAGAAUCCUGUGGUGGUCAGACAGUCUUUCCAUCCAGAACAUCUGCAGGUGGACAGGAUUGAGACGGGCCAGAAUAAUCCCACCUGGAUCAGAGAGCUACCGUUUCUCCAUCCAGGCAAGUCUUUUAUAACAGUAACACACCUGAGGAGACAUCUGUUCCUUUAAAAGCAUUUAAAUAUAUAAUAUUAUUUUCAGUAUAUAUAUUAUAUUAUACUGUAGAUACAUUUCAGUAUUAUUCUUCUUUAUAAGCUUCACUUGAAAAAUCAUAUAUAACUGAAUUGCUUUUUAGAUAUUUGUUGAACAACUAUUAUUAUUUUGUUUAGUGUCUGGCAAAGUGUCUGCCCAUAAAUUGGUGAAAGUGUUUGCAGCUCUUUGUGCACUUUGUCUGCUGGGAGGUGUUGUCAUUGGAGUUUGGUUCAUAGGUAAGAAUUCAAAUAAUUCAAAAGUUUAAAAGGUUAAAUUUGUGCACUUAAAAUGUAGAAACACAGAGCACUCAAAAUAAUGUCUUUAAUGUCUCACAGUGAAAAUUUUGUUAAGGCCAAACUCAGCACAGAGCCCUGCGAGCCUAGGAGACACUAAAGACACGUCCUUCUGCAAUGUAACUGAGGACAUCUCUUUGGCAGACCCCAGAAAAGGUAUUUGUCCCUUUAUUUGCACAUUCUGUGAAAACAACAGAGCCAGCAGGUAAACAGCACAGUGGACAUUCAUCCAAACUCACUGGCACUUUAAACAAAGUGACAUAAACAAUGACCAACGAAAGCUGUAACAAACACAUAAACAAGAGAAGCAAACUAAAGGGAGAGGAAGUAGAAAUUAAGUGAAAUAAAGUGGACUACAUUUUUCAGUAGUGUGACAGUAGUUUUUUCAAGGUAGAUAUACUGCUAAUUUUAAUGUCAGAGCUCAUGGAAUAAUCAAACAUACACACCUGAACAGUCUUUUCCAACGCUAUCUCAUGCCAAUUCGUACAUAUUUUACGAGGUGGCUAAUUCGUACGAAUUCGUACGACCUCACUCGUACGAUUUCAUACGAUUUGGCUAGACCCCAGUAACGGUUAAGUUUAGGGGCGGGGUUUGGUGUAGGUCAUUCGUACAAAUUCAUACGAAUGUGCAACUCGUAAAAUACGUACGAUUUGGCAAAAAUCGUAUGAAUUUGUACGAGUGUGGUCGUACGAAUUCGUACGAAUUAGCCACCUCGUAAAAUAUGUACGAAUUGCUGUGAGAUCGGGCUGUUACCGUUUGAAAGUCUGAUUCAUUCUAGUGAAUCUGUUCGUCUUAAACGAAUACUCCCAUACAGUCAUGGAAUUGGAUUUAUUAUAGUGAAUCGUUCAUCCUAAAUUGUUCUCUCCUUCAUAAAAAAAACCCUGAAAAGUCUGAUUAAUCUUAGGCAAUCACUUCUUCUUAAAUGGUUACUUAGCGAGCACUGGAAAAAUUGAUUUUUCUAGUGAAUCAGUUCAUUAGGACAGUUUGUUAAAAUGAACAACACAUUCUCACAAAAGCAAAACAAACAAGUGUUGCAUUCCAAAUCUUCUGAAGCCAUACAGUGUCAUUAUGCAAAGAAGAUAGUAAAACAAGGUUUUAAUCGCUGAAAAUGACCCCGCAUGACGCAAUCAGUCACGAGACACACAAGGGCCAAUAGCAUU
ensembl:lncRNA